GUUAAAAAGCUCGUAGUUGGAUCAAGAGUUGGACAGUGCACGGUGGCCCUGUUUGUGUAUUUGGCUCCGGUCAGGUACGCGGCAGCGGAACAACCCCGUGCAUUAAACUGUCCACUCUAACAGACCGAAACGGUUCCCUGUGAGUAGGCUCCUUAAUUGGGGCUGAAAGCGCCUACGCAUCAACCAUAUGCAUACGGGACGUCGGUCAAUGUUACUGUGAACAAACCAGCGUGUCCAAAGCAGGCUUUCGCCUGAAUGUUCGAGCAUGGAAUAACAAGGGAUCGAUUCUCUCGGUUCUUUUUGUCGGUUUUUAACCCGAGAAGGAGUAAUUCAGGCCACGGUGUCUGAGUUGGGUUUCCCUAGGCUUCGGCUUAGGCCCCAAUUAGGCCGUGUCCUUACGGGAUCAAUAGUUCUUAGAUCGCGGGAAGAGGAACUUCUGCGAAAGCAUUCGACAAGAAUGUCUUCAUUAAUCAAGAACGAGAGUGUGGGAUCGAAGAUGAUCAGAUACCGUC
rnacentral:rRNA from 1 species